CCCGCUGAACUUAAGCAUAUUAUUAAGCGGAGGAAAAGAAACUAACAAGGAUGCCCUCAGUAACGGCGAGUGAAGCGGGCAAAGCUCAACCUGAAAAUCUGGUUUCCAAACGGGAAUCCGAAUUGUGGGCUACAGAUACGUGAUCAGUGUGUGACCCGGGUAUAAGUGUUGUUGGAAAACGCUAACAUAGAGGGUGAUAUUCCCGUCCGUGACCUGGAGUUCGCCGCGUACGAUCCGUUUUCGAAGAGUCGCGUUGUUUGGGAUUGCAGCGCUAAAUGGGUGGUAAAUUUCAUCUAAAGCUAAAUAUCGACGAGAGACCGAUAGCGAACAAGUACCGUGAGGGAAAGAUGAAAAGAACUUUGAAAAGAGAGUUAAAAAGUACUUGAAAUUGCUAAGAGGGAAGCACUGGAUACCAGUCGUGGUCAGUUGUCUUUUUAAUAUCUGCUCCUGGAUUCUUGUUUACGUGAGAGCCCAAAGCCUCACGUGGGCCGGAUGAAAAUGUGGGUAUGUCGGAUGAUUGACUGAGUCAGAGUCAAUUAGAUUUGUGGGAGAAAGCUAUCACGACGCUUCAAGGCACCCGCAAGGAAUGCUUUGUUAGUGUGGUAGUGCUACCAUGGAUUUGAUUGAGGAAAAUUUUGAAACGCGCGCCUUCGGGUUAGCGGGACCUGUUCCCUGGCGGAUCAAAGAGCUUGUACAACAAAGUUGUGCGGUCCUUGAAGUCUGUUACUGGUUCGGGUAUCCCAGCAGCUGCAUUCGAGAUUCUGACGAAAUGGUAUUCAUUGACCCGUCUUGAAACACGG
rnacentral:rRNA from 1 species